ensembl:snoRNA
CAAACAUGAUGAUACCAGAGAAUGGUUUCGCAUACUUAACUGAUGUCAUGUGAUGUCACACUUCUCUUGGCUGUCUGAUUAG